rnacentral:rRNA from 1 species
GAUGAACGCUGACAGAAUGCUUAACACAUGCAAGUCAACUUGAACUUCGGUUUGGGUGGCGGACGGGUGAGUAACGCGUAAAGAACUUGCCUCAGAGAUAGGGACAACAUUUGGAAACGAAUGCUAAUACCUGAUAUUAUGAUUUUAGGGCAUCCUAGAAUUAUGAAAGCUAUACGCACUGUGAGAGAGCUUUGCGUCCCAUUAGCUAGUUGGAGAGGUAACGGCUCACCAAGGCGAUGAUGGGUAGCCGGCCUGAGAGGGUGAUCGGCCACAAGGGGACUGAGACACGGCCCUUACUCCUACGGGAGGCAGCAGUGGGGAAUAUUGGACAAUGGACCAAGAGUCUGAUCCAGCAAUUCUGUGUGCACGAUGAAGUUUUUCGGAAUGUAAAGUGCUUUCAGUUGGGAAGAAAAAAAUGACGGUACCAACAGAAGAAGUGACGGCUAAAUACGUGCCAGCAGCCGCGGUAAUACGUAUGUCACAAGCGUUAUCCGGAUUUAUUGGGCGUAAAGCGCGUCUAGGUGGUUAUGUAAGUCUGAUGUGAAAAUGCAGGGCUCAACUCUGUAUUGCGUUGGAAACUGUGUAACUAGAGUACUGGAGAGGUAAGCGGAACUACAAGUGUAGAGGUGAAAUUCGUAGAUAUUUGUAGGAAUGCCGAUGGGGAAGCCAGCUUACUGGACAGAUACUGACGCUGAAGCGCGAAAGCGUGGGUAGCAAACAGG